rnacentral:rRNA from 1 species
CUGGCGGCGUGCCUAAUACAUGCAAGUCGAACGGUCUUUCUAUGGAAGCUUGCUUCCACUGAGAAGAUAGUGGCGAACGGGUGAGUAACACGUGGGUAACCUGCCCAUAAGAGGGGGAUAACAUCCGGAAACGGGUGCUAAUACCGCAUAGUUUUCUUGAUCGCAUGAUCGGGAAGGAAAGACGGCCUUUGUGCUGUCGCUUAUGGAUGGACCCGCGGCGUAUUAGUUAGUUGGUGAGGUAACGGCUCACCAAGACGAUGAUACGUAGCCGACCUGAGAGGGUGAUCGGCCACAUUGGGACUGAGACACGGCCCAAACUCCUACGGGAGGCAGCAGUAGGGAAUCUUCCGCAAUGGACGAAAGUCUGACGGAGCAACGCCGCGUGAGUGAAGAAAGGUUUUCGGAUCGUAAAACUCUGUUGUCAGAGAAGAACAAGUUGGAGAGUAACUGCUCCAGCCUUGACGGUAUCUGACCAGAAAGCCACGGCUAACUACGUGCCAGCCGCCGC